rnacentral:lncRNA from 1 species
UAUAUUAAUCCCUUUCUACUUUGCGGGUGCGAGUGCUGCCUUGUAGCGGCAUUAGCCUACUCUUUUUCGAAAUCUACAAGGGUGUCUUUAACGUGCAAGAGAUAUGGCUCUCUCUUAACACGGGUCAGCCAUUUAUCGUCCCCUUCCGACGGACUAUCAUCGUUUCCUCAAGACCAUACUCGCAAAUGGUGUCAAGGGAGAGCCGAAAAUUGAGUUCCUGAAAUUUUC